rnacentral:lncRNA from 1 species
CCGUCCUGAAAAUUUCAUUGAACAAUGCAGUCAACCACCUUACACCAGCCUCUCCAACGAACUUCCAAAACUCCACCGGUAUCUCAUCCGGCCCCGUCGCCCUACCCCUUCGCAUCCUGCGGACUGCCUGUCUAACCUCGUCUACCUUAAAACGUCUACAAUAGCUAAAAUCCCGACACUCCCCUGAGUGCUCCAGUUCCCCUAACACAAUAGCUCUGUCCCCCUCGUCAUUCAAGAGCCUAUGAAAGUACGACUGCCAUCUCUUCUUUAUGUGGCCGUCCUCCACCAAGACUCCACCGUCCUCCCCCUUAAUGCACCUCACCUGAUCGAGGUCACGACCCUUCCUCUCCCUAGCCUUAGCGAGUCGGAACAACUUUUUCUCCCCUCCUUUCCCCUGUAACCCUGCAUACAAGCUCUCAAA